rnacentral:lncRNA from 1 species
UUGCAUUAAUGCAGGUGAAAUCUUGGAGGAGUUGAAGAGAGUUAAAGAAGUUUACCUCCUGGCAGAGAAUGUAUGAAGGCCCCUGCUGUCCUGAAACUUUCUAAGUGUGGAAUGGGAACGAAAUGGAGGUUAAUAGCUGCUGAAGUCUGGAACAAAAGGGAGUUGUUGGAUGUGGUAUGCACACUUGAGUGUGCUAGGGAGAAGAAUGCAGAGAUAGGGUGGCUGAUGUGUG